AGGCACAUUCACUUCAAGUUGUUCUUUGCACAAGUGGGACUGACCGGCCAAGCCAGAGGCAGAGGGCCAACGGGUGUUCAGAGUCCUGGACCAAGACCAGAGUGGAUACAUAGAGGAGGAGGAGCUGAAAUUAUUGCCUGCAGAACUUCUCCUCAGGGGCCAGGGAGCUGACUGAUGCUGAGACAGAACUCUCCUAGCGGCAGGAGACAGAGACGGGAUGGAAAGAUAGGGAUGGAAGAGUUCUGCGCUUUGCUGAAAUGAAGCUUUCACUCCUCAUCAGGCUGUCUCUUUUUUUUCUUCUUUUGGU